rnacentral:rRNA from 1 species
CCUACGGGUGGCUGCAGUGGGGAAUAUUGCACGAUGGGCGCAAGCCUGAUGCAGCCAUGCCGCGUGUGUGAAGAAGGCCUUCGGGUUGUAAAGCACUUUCAGCGGGGAGGAAGGCGGUGAGGUUAAUAACCUCAUCGAUUGACGUUACCCGCAGAAGAAGCACCGGCUAACUCCGUGCCAGCAGCCGCGGUAAUACGGAGGGUGCAAGCGUUAAUCGGAAUUACUGGGCGUAAAGCGCACGCAGGCGGUCUGUCAAGUCGGAUGUGAAAUCCCCGGGCUCAACCUGGGAACUGCAUUCGAAACUGGCAGGCUAGAGUCUUGUAGAGGGGGGUAGAAUUCCAGGUGUAGCGGUGAAAUGCGUAGAGAUCUGGAGGAAUACCGGUGGCGAAGGCGGCCCCCUGGACAAAGACUGACGCUCAGGUGCGAAAGCGUGGGGAGCAAACAGGAUUAGAUACCCUAGUAGUC